GGAAGUGGUAAUUCAGUGGUUAAGAUGCUGGACUUUUGAUCGGAAGGUCGUGAGUUCAAAUCUCAGCACUGCUG